AUUGAACGCUGGCGGCAGGCCUAACACAUGCAAGUCGAACGAGCGGCGGACGGGUGAGUGAUGUCUGGGAGACUGCCUGAUGGAGGGGGGUAACUACUGGAAACGGUAGCUAAUACAGCAUACCAUCAGAUGUGCCCAUAUGGGGUUAGCUGGUAGGUGGGGUAACGGCUCACCAAGGCGACGAUCCCUAGCUGGUCUGAGAGGAUGACCAGCCAAACUGGAACUGAGACACGGUCCAGACUCCUACGGGAGGCAGCAGUGGGGAAUAGUGCACAAUGGGCGCAAGCCUGAUGCAGCCAUGCCGCGUGUGUGAAGAAGGCCUUCGGGUUGUAAAGCACUUUCAGCGGGGAGGCGUUACCCGCAGAAGAAGCACCGGCUAACUCCGUGCCAGCCGCCGCGGUAAUAC
rnacentral:rRNA from 1 species